rnacentral:rRNA from 1 species
GAUGAACGCUAGCGGCAGGCCUAACACAUGCAAGUCGAGGGAGAAGCCCUUUCGGGGGCAGAAACCGGCGCACGGGUGCGUAACGCGUAUGCAACCUACCUUUCACAGGGGGAUAGCCCGAAGAAAUUUGGAUUAAUACCCCAUAAUAUUAUUGGAUGGCAUCAUUUGAUAAUUAAAACUGCGGUGGUGAAAGAUGGGCAUGCGUCCUAUUAGCUAGUUGGAGUGGUAACGGCACCCCAAGGCUACGAUAGGUAGGGGUCCUGAGAGGGAGAUCCCCCACACUGGUACUGAGACAGGGACCAGACUCCUACGGGAGGCAGCAGUGAGGAAUAUUAGUCAAUGGUCGGAAGACUGAACCAGCCAUGCCGCGUGCAGGAAGAAUGCCUUAUGGGUUGUAAACUGCUUUUAUAUGGGAAGAAUAAGGCGUACGUGUACGUUGAUGACGGUACCAUAUGAAUAAGCAUCGGCUAACUCCGU